rnacentral:rRNA from 1 species
UACGGGAGGCAGCAGUGGGGAAUAUUGCACAAUGGGCGAAAGCCUGAUGCAGCUAUGCCGCGUGUAUGAAGAAGGCCUUAGGGUUGUAAAGUACUUUCAUCGGGGAGGAAAAAACAAAACUAAUAAUUUUAUUUCUUGACGUUACCCGAAAAAGAAGCACCGGCUAACUCCGUGCCAGCAGCCGCGGUAAUACGGAGGGUGCUAGCGUUAAUCAGAAUUACUGGGCGUAAAGAGCACGUAGGUGGUUUUUUUAAGUCAGAUGUGAAAUCCCUGGGCUUAACCUAGGAACUGCAUUUUGAAACUGAAAUACUAGAGUAUCGUAGAGGGAGGUAGAAUUCUAGGUGUAGCGGUGAAAUGCGUAGAUAUCUGGAGGAAUACCUGUGGCGAAAGCGGCCUCCUAAACGAAUACUGACACUGAGGUGCGAAAGCGUUGGGGAGCAAACAGGGAUUUAGGAUACC